rnacentral:piRNA from 1 species
UGGUAUUAGGGUUCCUCCAUCAAGGUUGGU